CCUUUUCUAGGGCCACUUCCCGUGGCAUGUGGAGGUUCCCAGGCUAGGGGUCUAAUGGGAGCUGUAGCCACCGCCCGACGCCAGAGCCACAGCAACACGGGAUCUGAGAUGAAUCUGCAACCUACACCGCAGGCCACGGCAACGCCAGAUCCCCAACCAACUGAGCAAGGCCAGAGAUCGAACCCGUAACUCCAUGGUCGGAUUCGUUAACCACUGUGCUACGAUGGGAACUCCUAGAGUGUGAUUAUUUGAUAAACUGGGUAACUGUAUGAUCCUUUCUGCUUUACCAAGAUUAUUUGCAACAAAACACAAUAGGAUAGUGUUUGAAAUAAAAGCAACCUGAAGACCAAAGCUUAAACCUUGGUCAAUAAAAGAGGCAACACCAAGAUCGCUUAUUGUUCAUGGAAAAAUGGGUCAACUUGAAUCUGAACUCCUAUUACCUCAUAAAAUUAAUACCUGAGAGAAUACUCCAACCAAAAGACAAGACAUCCACUUCUCUUUUGCAAUUCAAUUUCAGUUUCAUGGAACUCGAUGCGUUCUUUAAUGCAUAAAAAUCAUUUCGAAAUCUGUAAGGACACUAAAUAAUCGGUGUGGUGUAAAAAUCCAGAAGGACUGCACUAUCAAACAUGGAAUAUACUUGUUCCCUGCACUUCUAACCAAAAAAAAAUUUAAAAGAUCUAUUAAAUGCUAUUUCAUAAUAAGAGGGAACUUGGCAGCUAGUUAUUGAGAGGGGGUUAUUAUGUUUGAUGGUAUCUAGUCCCAGAUUAGUCCAAAACAUUAAUAAUCAAGAAUAUGGACAUUUACAGCUCUUGGCCUCACCCCAACAUGUCAGGAAAAUAGCAAAACAGCAUUUUACAAUGUGUUUUAUAUAUCCAUGUCCAGUAUACACUAUGGUACUAUGGAUUUUUUUAGGUAACUACACUGACCUUCUUACAACAAAUCAUUGAAAUAAGAUUAGAUUAGACUUGGGGAAAAUGGAAUAGUACUGAAAUAUUCACUCAGAAAAUCUGUGGGUUCAUUUUACUUUGAGACCUUGGUUUUAUACACAUGGGAUUUUAACAAAAACAGAAUUUAGAUGCAUAGAUUUCUAUCUUUGCAGUGCAACAAAAUUUAUCUGAUUUAAGGAUGAGAGUCUAAGCAUUUUAGUCUUAUAUAUAGCAAAAUACUAGCAUUCACCGAUUCCCAGUCAAGUUUUGGCAUUAUAGCUUAUUCAUAAAUCAACUUAUAAAAUUUAGGCCACUUUUCAAAAAGAAAGCAGUAUUGUACAUGGUAGUAGUACGUUUUCUCAGACUAUCUAUUAAACCUUUCUUAACUCCUGUUUUAUAUAUAGAUAUAUAUAGUAUUUAACUUUAUGGUUAUCUUGAAUCCCUAAAUAAUAAUUAGUAUUUACUGAUUAUAAUAACAAAAAUAUUAUAUCCAUUAUCACAUCUAUUUCUACAGAUGAACCAAACAAAUUUAAUAGACUAUGUGAAACCAAAAUAGAUUAGGUAAAGGGUGUUUAUUUUCUUUUCCAAGAUCAUAAAUCUAGUCAAAAUUUAUAGCUGAUAUUUACACAGUUUAAAUGCACAAUCAACAGUACUUAUUAUAUGCUAAGCAUUAUUAAAGAGCUUCACUUGUGUUUAAAUAAUUUAAACAUCACUCCCUAUCUUGUAUUUAAUAUCUUUAUUAAAUUGAUUCUAAUCUUUCCAAAUAUGAUUGUGAUUUGGUCUACCUUGCUUAAGCCUAAUCAAACACAGAGUCCUGGGAUGUUAUAAAUAUGUUUGUGACUUGCAGUAAUGCGGAGAAUGUAAGCGGGUAAAAGUCACAUUUUAAAUUUAUUUAUUUAUUUAUGUUUGCCUACACCUGAGGAUGUGGAAGUUCUUGGGCCAGUUAUCAAAUCUAGCCGUAGUCCACAGCUGCAACCCAUGUACACCAGAGCUAUCUGUGCAAAUCACAACUGCAUACUCUCAAAUAUUACUGAUAGGAUAUUCUAAUGAGAAACAAUAUAGGAAAUGAUAUAGGAAAAACAAAAUCUCCAAAUGACUUUACAUGAAACCCAUUUGCUUCAAGCAGCUAAGCAGAUGAAUAGUAGGGUGUCAAACAUACCUUUCUAUCAGGAUUUUCAUUUACACUGGCUCAUGGAUCUACAGACAUGAAUGCUAUGGGAUCCCUGGAGGAUUUUGGCAUCAUGGACAGGUUACUACUUUCCGAUUUAAUUUCUUUAAAGAACAGGAACCUCUUUAGCAGCAUACUUGUGAACUUUAAGAGUCAGAAAAACCUGAGUUCUCCUCUUGGCUUUAUCAAACAAUGGAUGUGUGAACUUUAACAAAUUAUUGAACUUCUAUGAGACACAGACCCAAUGUUUGUAAAAUGGAGAUUAUAAUACAUACAGACUAGGCAGAUGAUAACUAAAAGAGAAGAUGUAUGUAAAAUAUAACAGCUUCCACGUAAUGAGACUUUAGCAAGUAAGCUAUUUUUAUAUUACUAUAUCUAUACUUUAAAUUCAAAAAUCAAGAACAGGAGAUCUUGCUGUAGCUCAGCAGGUGAAGAACCUGACUGGUAUUCACGAGGAUGCAGGUUCAAUCCCUGGCUUCACUCAGUGGUUUAAGUAUCUUGCAUUUGCAGCAAGCUGUGGUACGGGUCACAGGUGUGGCUCAGCUCUUGUGUUGCUGUGGAUGUGGCAUAUGCUGGCAGCUGCAGCUCUGAUUAGACCCCUAGCCCAGGAACUUCACAUACUGUGAGUGCAGCCUUAAACAAACAAGAACAAAAACAAAAAUCCAAAAAAAUCAAGAAAUUACCUUUAAAAAAACUAAUUUUUUAUAUGUAUACAUAUGUACAUAUUUUCACAUUUAGGCAAAGGUCCUUCAUAUCCCCAGAGAUUAUGGCUAAAACAAAGUCCUUUUCACCUGAGAAGCCCUCUAAAUCGGAAAGGUCAGCCACAGCAGAUUCUCAAGUCCUCUUGUAUGAAUGAGGAGACCAUCUGUCUCAGCUUUCAAAUUACUUUUCUCAACAUAGACUACGGUCCAAAUAUUGACACUGACCCUUGCAAAGUAUUAACAAACCGUUUUUUUUCUGGAGCUUCGCACAUCACCUUCCCAUUUCUUUUCAGUUCACUCCCAGGGACUUAAGGCCAUUAGGCAAAAGUAUGCCACUGAUGGCAUCACAUCUGGCCUGGCUGGUAUUCGCAGGUGGAGAAGCAGAUGUAUAAUAGACCUAUUUGAAAAUGCUAUAUUAGAGAAACAGCUCUACAAACAAAAUUAGUGAGAUAAUUCUCGAGGUUUGCCUUCCUCUGUUCCAUCAUAAUUUAUCAUCCAGAAAAAGGAACUAACAGGUAACACAGAGGAGUGCAAUUAAGGGGCAAGGCAAAGUGAAGGGGUUUUGUAGCACCAGCAUCCCCUGGAUAUUGUGCAGGGAAAGAGAAUGCAAACUCAGGCAUUCAACUCGUAUGUCCAUGCUCAUUAAGCCACUUAGCUAGUAUAUGGAACAUUUCAGGUUGUCCCAGGGAUGUAGACAAGGAACUAAAUAUUGAUUCAGCAAGACCUCAAAUGAGAAGCCUAAUUAAAUUAAAUAGCAAAAGGGGAGGGUUGUUUCAUAGACUCCAGUAAUUGCUUAAAGCUCAAAAGAGACCAAAUAAAGGUCAAAAAGGUAUACUAACAACCAGGCAGAUAUAGACAGUAUACAUUGGGAAGACAUGAGCACAGAAGGGGACAAAAUUUCAGAGGCUAUUAAGGGCUCAAUUGGGAAAAACGAUUGGAUAUUGUCAUGAACAUAAGUAACUAGUGCUGGCUUUUAAGUAAAUUCUGGCACUAACACAGGCAGCAGCAUGUUAGUUUUAAUUUUACUUUAAUGACUAACUAUAUGCAGCAAUACCUUAGGGUAAUGCCCUUCCCUGGGAAGGACCUGACUGAGAGCUUAGGGAAGAGAGGUAUAAUAUUUUGGAGCUCUAAAAAUGCUGUGUUUCAAGUUCUAUUCCGGAAAGGAGAGUAUGUAAAGGAACAUGAGGAUGAUUCUAGUAUAGUUGGGAUUGGCUAUUUCAGAAUACAGCAUUAUAAAUAUGGGCUAGCCUGUAUGUGAAUACACAAACAGAUACAGAAGGAUUAUGACCCAAAGCUACUAUGACUGGACACUGGGGAUAGCAGAGCUCCUUCUAGAUGAGAGGGAACUGGAGGGUAGAGGUGGAGAAGGAAGAGACCUCCUUCUUUGUUCCUAAGCUGUCUGAGCCUUUGUUUCUCAUUUAUAAAAUUGAGAUAAUAAUGGGACUUUCCUCAAGCAUUGUUUGUAAAUAAAAAAAACCAUUCAUAUACGAAGGGAUUUAAAAUAUCUGGUCGUUAUUAAGAGCAUGGUAAAUGUUAGUUAUUGUUGCUAUCAUUCUUCUUCCCAUAAUUACCACAGAAGUGAAUAGGAAGAAGCUUGUCCUUAAAAAAGUACCCAUCUGCUCAAAUUUUGAGAUGUGGACCUUGAAUCUGCUCAGUAUCCACUUUCAUUAAAACUCUGGUGCUACUCUGCUGGGCAAUUUGGUAUUACAUAUAUACACUCUAGAAUCAGAGGAUUAGGUUUAAGAUCUUGUCCUGCCUCUUAAUAGAUUUGUUAUUUGAAGAAGUUGUUCAACUUCUUUAAGCGUCAGUUCCAAGUCUAUAAAAUAACAAGAAAAUAUCUUACUGGUAAAAACAACUAUGCAAAUACAUUUCAAAUAUUUAGGACAAUGUCUAGCAUUAAGCACUCAAUAUCAUGUACAUACGAAGACAUAUCCAUAUAUUGCAUGUAUGGUUUGCAUAUAUGAACUAUCCUUACACACACAUACACACACGCACACACACCAUCACCUCUACCAAAACGACCACCAUUUAUUCCCUUAACUCCAAAUGGAAUCAAAGAAUAUUUUAGCUUGAUGAGAUCUAGUGAUAUCAUUUAUUCUGGCUCUUGUAGCAUCUUUCUUUCUCUCAUUCUCAUUCAUACAUGCAGGUGUAUACACACAUGCACAUGCACACACACACACAAACUAUGCAGGGAAAAUGUUUAUGGGUUUAUACUUAUAUGAUUUCUUAAUCCAGAUAGAUGUUAGUCUUUCCAAGAUGACUCCCUUGAAUUUUGGGGUGGCUUAAGUUCUGGUCUAUGUUGCAACUGAAUAAUUCUGAAUGUAGUGCAUUUGCAUAAACACCCUAAUAUUGAAUAAAAAUUCUUUCCCUGAUCUUCAACUCUAAAGCCUCUAUUUGCAUUGGCAACAAGUAGAUUAAACAAAUAACUAUCUGAAGAUUUUUUACUUUUUGCUGAAUACAGUUCAGGUUUGCCCUAGACUCACUCUGUACAAUUCUUCCAUUACUCAUCAGCCUUGCAUGGACCAAACUCUAACCGUGUCUCAGAAGAGAUGAUUACUCUUCCUCAAAGCCAUAUCAAUUACUCCUGACAAAAGGAAUGAGCAAUAAACAGACUUAUGAUAUGCAGAGGAAUUAUCUCAGUAUGAAGAGAACAUUUUCCUAGGCUUCUCCUUAAAUGUAAUUUGAAAUAAACAUUUAUAAAAAUUAGAUGAAACGUAUCAAUGAAUAAUGUUACAUUAUGAAAAGCUAUCACUAGCCCACAUUAGCUAAUAUUAUGACUAAUAUUACUGCUACUACUGCUACUACUGCUGCUACCACUACCAGUUAAUAUUUAGUGGGCACUUGCUAUAUGCUAGAUACUGUGCUAAGACCUGAUAUGCAGUAGUUUGUUUUCCCUCCUGGAAUCUAUUUAUCAGGCAGUA
rnacentral:lncRNA from 1 species